rnacentral:tRNA from 1 species
GGAGAGAUGGCUGAGUGGUCGAAAGCGGCUGCCUCGAAAGCAGUUAUUCUGUUAAAAGCGGAAUCGGGGGUUCAAAUCCCCCUCUCUCCU